ensembl:lncRNA
UGUCUCAGCGUAAUUUGCAUAUAGAACGUUUUAAUGUUUGUUACAGUGAAGUGCAGUCUGUGAAGUAAGCACAGUGUUCGGUAUUUUUCUUUAGUGUGUUUUCGCCGGUUAGACGUUCACAUCGCCACAUUUCUGAAAACAUUUAAACAAGUUUUGAAUUUUUGCAAAGAUUUUUCACUCGUCUUCAAAAAACAAGAACAUCAGUCUACUGCGUUGGUUUGUUUUGCCAUGUCUCAAAACCACUACCAACCGAGAUUCAGAGGACCUCCUCCUCACUGCGCUGGACAGUACGGUCCCCCCGGUGAAUACAAUGGUCUCAGAAAAGCUUUUGAGAACUGCAGGAGGGAAAACCUUCACCUACGAGAGAGCGAGUACCAACUGCGAAGUCGCCUAAACGGUCUUCUGGCAGAGAGGAGGAAUUUAUGCCAUAAGGAUGGGCUUGUAGCUCUUAGAGAAGAAAUGGAGUCCAAAUACAAGCAACUGGAGAAAAGAAAUGAAACGCUGGAACAAGAAAACAAAAUACUAGAAGGGAAGCAGCUAGACGCGGAUGAAUUGAAGGAAAAGCUGUCAGACGCAUACUUAAGAAUUGAAGCAGAAAAUGAGUACCAGCAAUUUCUAAGGGAGAAACAUUCGGAGGAAGUCCAAAAUUUGAAGGAGAAAUGUCAAGACCUGGAACAGAAGCAGGCAGUGUUGGAGGACAAAAAUAAAGAAUUGGAGGAAGAGAAGACAAAACUAGAGAACAAAAAUAAAGAAUUGGAGGAAGAGAAGAUCAAACUAGAGAACAAAAAUAAAGAAUUGGAGGAAGAGAAGACAAAACUGGAGGACAAAAAUAAAGAAUUGGAGGAAGAGAAGACAAAACUAGAGGACAAAAAGAAAGAGAUUCAGAAAGAGAAGACAAAACUAGAGGACAAAAAGAAAGAGAUUCAGAAAGAGAAGACAAAACUAGAGGACAAAAAUAAAGAAAUGGAACAAAAGAAGAAAAAACUGGAGGACAGAAAUAAAGAAUUGGAGGAAGAGAAGGAAAAGGUAGAAGACAAAUAUACAGCACUUGAGCAGAAGCAUAAAGAAGUCCAGGACAGGAGCACAGAAAUGCUUCAGGAGAAGAUCCAACACCUUCAAAAAUAUGAAGAACUUGAGAGGAUUCACAAAGAACUGCAAAGCAGAAACAGUGAAAACCAGGAGGAUCAGAAAAAGCAGAAACAAGAGGAGCUUGAACAAAAGGGCAAAGAAGAGGAUGAAAAGUUUAACAAACUGCAGGAAGAUUUUGAGAAGAUUCAAGCAGACAAUGAAAACCUCAAAGAAAAUAACACACUAGAGAUGAAAAACAAUGAGUUGCAGGCGCAAGAACAGCAAAAGAAAAAAGGAUCCAGCUUUUUCAAGAGGAAGUCAAGCAAGAAAGAGGAAAAACCAAAACAAGACCAGGAAAGUGUAGAGAAAGAAGAAAAGGUGGAAAAGAUAAACGGCAAAGUAGAAGAGAAAGAGAAAGGAAAGAAGAAGAAGAAGAAGACAGGCUGCUGGAGCUGGUUUUUCAGGAGUAAGAAAGGUUCUGGUGAGAUGAGAGUGGAAGAGGCUCCUGAGUCUGGACAACUGUAGGAGGUUCUACAUUUCAUUACUAUUCACAUCCCCACCCGGAUCCUCCCUGCACCUCCCUCUACCCUCCGUCUACCCCCUUCUUCCCUCCUUCUCCCCCUUCACAUCUCCACCCCACCCGUAUCCUCCCUGCACCUCCCUCUACCCUUCGUCUACCCCCUUCUUCCCUCCUUUCCCCCUACCCCUGCAACCUCCAUUUGCCAUCUCCAUCGACAGGUCUUUCUACGUGAAGAUCUGUUUUCUCUGUAUCUUAAUAAAAAAUAAAGUUGAACAUAACCAGAACUAAAUAAGCAUUUCUUUUUAUGAGAAA